GACGUAGGGGGCCAGCGUUGUUCGGAAUUACUGGGCGUAAAGGGCGCGUAGGCGGCCUUCUAAGUCGAACGUGAAAUCCCUGGGCUCAACCCAGGAACUGCGUCCGAUACUGGAAGGCUUGAAUCCGGGAGAGGGAUGCGGAAUUCCAGGUGUAGCGGUGAAAUGCGUAGAUAUCUGGAGGAACACCGGUGGCGAAGGCGGCAUCCUGGACCGGUAUUGACGCUGAGGCGCGAAAGCCAGGGGAGCAAACGGG
rnacentral:rRNA from 1 species